UUGGCUGGACAGUUACUUUAAGCCCCCUGCUAUUUCAGGGAAUGGAAGAACUAGAAAUCAGAAGCAGUUCAUUUGACUGAAGAAACUUGACGGCACCUCAGGUACUAAAUUUGACUCCUCACUGAGCCUGGGCAGAAGGAAUAAUGGGACCUCUGGCAACUUCAUUACUGAUCUUGUGGCUUCAGCCUGGCUGGGUGAGUGGCCAAGUGGUGGAACAGAGUCCUGCAACCCUAAGCCUCAAGGUCGGAGAAAGCACCACUUUGAACUGCACUUACACGACCUCUAUAAAUAGCCUACAAUGGUACAGACACAAUCCUGGGACGGGUCCAACAGUCCUGUUUAUAAUGGUUUUAGACGGGGAUGAGAAACAGGAAGGAAGAUUAAAAGCCACGCUCAGCACUAAGGGACGUCACAGUUCCCUGAGCAUCUCAGCUGCCCAGACCAGAGACUCAGCCACCUACUUCUGUGCUGUGGAGGCACAGUGA